GUGGAUUAGAUACCCUUGUAGUCCACGCCCUAAACGAUGCGAACUGGACGUUGGGAGCAAUCAGGCUCUCAGUGUCGAAGCUAACGCGUUAAGUUCGCCGCCUGGGGAGUACGGUCGCAAGACUGAAACUCAAAGGAAUUGACGGGGGCCCGCACAAGCGGUGGAGUAUGUGGUUUAAUUCGAUGCAACGCGCAGAACCUUACCUGGCCUUGACAUCCACGGAACUGCCCAGAGAUGGGCGGGUGCCUUCGGGAACCGUGAGACAGGUGCUGCAUGGCCGUCGUCAGCU
rnacentral:rRNA from 1 species